GAUGAACGCUAGCGGCAGGCCUAACACAUGCAAGUCGAGGGAGAGGUUAUCUUCGGGUAACCAAAACCGGCGCACGGGUGCGUAACGCGUAUACAAUCUGCCUUUCACAUAGGGAUAGCCCGAAGAAAUUUGGAUUAAUACCUAAUGGUAUAUAAGAGCGGCAUCGUUUUUAUAUUAAAGCUACGGUGGUGAAAGAUGAGUAUGCGUUCUAUUAGCUAGUUGGAGAGGUAACGGCUCCCCAAGGCGACGAUAGAUAGGGGUUCUGAGAGGGAUGUCCCCCACACUGGUACUGAGAUACGGACCAGACUCCUACGGGAGGCAGCAGUGAGGAAUAUUGGACAAUGGUCGGAAGACUGAUCCAGCCAUGCCGCGUGCAGGAUGAAGGUCCUAUGGAUUGUAAACUGCUUUUGUAAGGGAAGAAUAAGGAGUACGUGUACUUUGAUGACGGUACCUUACGAAUAAGCAUCGGCUAACUCCGUGCCAGCAGCCGCGGUAAUACAGAGGAUGCGAGCGUUAUCCGGAAUCAUUGGGUUUAAAGGGUCCGGCAGGCGGGCUGAUAAGUCAGAGGUGAAAACGCUUAGCUCAACUAAGCAACUGCCUUUUAAACUGUCAGUCUCGAAUGAUUGUGAAGAACUUGAAAAGUGUAGUGGGGCGCUGAAAUGCUUAUAUAUCACACACAACUCAUCCACCGACGCGUAAUUCUUCCAAUUUUCUUAUUGCCUGUGUAGAAAAGCUGCGGAGUUAAAACGAUUACAUACUCAAAUAUUAAAGGGGAGGACCACCCGGAGGUAAAAGCUUUCGAUGCCCGCCCUCUCCGGGGGGGGGCGCGGCCCCCCCGUGUUGUCUGCUUUUUUUACUGCUUAAAAGAUGG
rnacentral:rRNA from 1 species